rnacentral:rRNA from 1 species
ACGAACGCUGGCGGCGUGCUUCACACAUGCAAGUCGAACGGAAAGGCCCUGCUUUUGUGGGGUGCUCGAGUGGCGAACGGGUGAGUAACACGUGAGUAACCUGCCCUUGACUUUGGGAUAACUUCAGGAAACUGGGGCUAAUACCGGAUAGGAGCUCCUGCUGCAUGGUGGGGGUUGGAAAGUUUCGGCGGUUGGGGAUGGACUCGCGGCUUAUCAGCUUGUUGGUGGGGUAGUGGCUUACCAAGGCUUUGACGGGUAGCCGGCCUGAGAGGGUGACCGGCCACAUUGGGACUGAGAUACGGCCCAGACUCCUACGGGAGGCAGCAGUGGGGAAUAUUGCACAAUGGGCGGAAGCUUGAUGCAGCAACGCCGCGUGCGGGAUGACGGCCUUCGGGUUGUAAACCGCUUUCGCCUGUGACGAAGCGUGAGUGACGGUAAUGGGUAAAGAAGCACCGGCUAACUACGUG